rnacentral:rRNA from 1 species
GACGUAGGGGGCGAGCGUUGUUCGGAUUUAUUGGGCGUAAAGAGCCCGCAGGCGGCUUGCCAAGUUCGAGGUGAAAUCUCCCGGCUCAACCGGGAGGGUGCCUCGAAAACUGGCAGGCUUGAGGCAGGGAGAGGGAUGUGGAAUUCCCGGUGUAGUGGUGAAAUGCGUAGAUAUCGGGAGGAACACCAGUGGCGAAGGCGGCAUCCUGGCCCUGUCCUGACGCUCAGGGGCGAAAGCGUGGGGAGCAAACCGG